rnacentral:rRNA from 1 species
CCCUUAGAUGUUCUGGGCAGCACGCGCGCUACAAUGGUGUUCGCAAACGGAUGCAUUCUCGAAGGAGAAUGCCAAUCUUGGAAUCUAUGCCUUGGUCGGGACAGUUGCUUGCAAUUUUUCGACUCGAACCAGGAAUUCCUUGUAAUCGUGAUUCAUCACAUCACGAUGAAUACGUCCCUGCCCUUUGUACACACCGCCCGUCGCUCCUACCGAUCGAAGAGUUAGGUGAAUUGUUUUGAUCGAUAAGAUUUGACUAUGGUCAACUCUCGUUGUGAAAUUCUGUGAAUCUGACUGUUUAGAGGAAGGAAAAGUCGUAACA